UUGAAUAACUAUGGUGGGUUGUUGCUGGCUUCUUGAAGCAUGUGCACACCUGCUGUCUUUAUCUAUCCCAUUGUGCACCAUCUGUAGUCUUGGAAGGAAAAAGCAGUCAAGCUCCUCUAGUGGGAGUUUUGUUGUCCUCCUUUCCAAGUCUAUGUCUUUUCCACAAACAUUGUAGUAUGUUACAGAAUGUAAUCAAGGGGCCUCUGUGCCUAUAUAGAAAUCUAUA
rnacentral:misc_RNA from 1 species